rnacentral:misc_RNA from 1 species
GCAAACGCAAGUGCAUGUGUGUCUGCAGAUGCGCACCUCUGGCCUGGACGCCUUGCAGAGCGUGCCGAGCGAGUUGGCGAGGGAGGAGGCCUCCUCGCCCCUGCUACAGCCGCCGCCGGAGGCGGAGUGCGGCAGCAGGACGUGGAGCAGCGUCAGGAAGUCCCCCUUGCUGGCGACGUGGGUGAGCGCCCACAUCAUGGCGUGCUUGGAGCCCGAGGUGUCGUCCACCACCACUAUCACCCGCUUCCUCGCGGCGGCAGAGGCGGCCUCCGCCUGCUGCUUCACGUCGUAGUCGUCGUACCCGCCGCAGUAGCCCCUCGCGGCGGCGGCCCGCUUCCUGGACCACCGCCGGGAGCCCCUCCUCUCCGCGCAGUACUCCUUGUGGCCCAGCUGCUGGCCGCCGCAGACCCCUUCGUCGCCGCCGUUGCUCGCGCUCAGCUGCCUCAGGAAGCGCUCCUCCGCGCUGCUCGCCAUGUACCAGAGCUUCGUCUUCGUGCUGCAGCCGCGCACGAUGCAAUGCGGUCGCAACUGUGUGCGAGUGCGGGCAAAGCGAAGCUUAAGGUGGCGUGUUGGUGCAAGCUCUGCACGGACGAGGACGACGAGUACCGUCGACUCAACCGUGUGCACCGUGCGGUGUGGUAUGGGCGUAUGGGCUUAUGGCUACGUGCAGAGGCCAGAGGGGGAGAGCGGAGCGGAUGGACGGCGAGGCGGAGCAAAGGACAAGGCCGCAUAAAAGCUGAGAUGGUCACGAUCUUAUUGGAAUAGCAGCGCUAUCGUCACCUUUAUUAAAUGGUACUACUACUCCUAGCUGCGAAAGAAAGUAACCUGCAGCUUAGUGCAUGUAUUUUUGUCAGACAGUGAAGCGCAAGAAUCUAUCAACCAUAUAAACAUAACAUAGCUCUAAGUCAACUAAUUCUAAGUUUAUGUAUAAAACUAUUCAUUCCGACAGAGUUCUAAAUGUG